rnacentral:ribozyme from 1 species
UGCCCAGCAACUCUCAUCCCUACCUCCUCGCGGUACUGGCCGGGGUACGAGUAAGGGCUCGUUCAAAUAUUACGUAACGCAACAGGGGGAG